rnacentral:ncRNA from 1 species
UAUUGUUCGCCGCCGGGUGAACACGGAGUGCUUCGGCGCUGUAUCGUUAGGCCGUAGAAGAUACAGCGCAGGGAGCGCUUUUUCUU